ensembl:lncRNA
CGGAAUUUGUAGACAUCCUGGCAGCUUACAAUUAGUUCGAGGUGAGAAGGUAUCUAGCCAGUCCACAAUGAAAGCUUCGUUGCACCCCAUGAGUCUUCUGGCAGAAAUGAUGGCGCCUGUAUUCUUUGGUUUCCCUAAACAUCACACCCUGCCUGUUUAUACGAGGCUCUUCAAUUAAGUCUGCACCCAAAGAUUCAAUAAGAGAGGGGAUCCUGCCAGUCCAAAGUGAACUCCUGAUGGACACUGAAGUACUCCUGCAGAGCUUGUAUCUUCGACACCAUGCGCAUUAGAAACUCCACUGAGUCCUUUCCUUCACCAAGGCAGGACCCAGUGACUCAUUACUGUUGAUAGGUCAGGGGCAGUGUAGGUACCACACCCGCUUUCACACCUUGGCUCAUGUGAUUAGAGGAUCACCAGGGGGUCCUUUGUCCCUCUUUGGGGGGAUACUCCCACUGGGUUUAAAUCUGGGACUCUCGGCCAUUUGACCUUAGAACUGAAGAAGCUUCUCGGAUGAGAGGUGAAACGUCUUCAAGCAACUCAAAGAAGUCCAGACGCUUUUCUUUGCAAAUUCCUUUGAC